rnacentral:rRNA from 1 species
CACAUGAACAUCGAUAAGUUGAACGCAUAUUGCGCAUCGAGAGUUAAUGCUCGAUGCACAUAUCUUUGAGAGUCCAUAGUUGCAUACAUUAAACAGCGUGCGCUUGCGCACGUGCCAGUUGGGGUGGGCGUCGCAAGGCGGCUACCCUUAAAAUCUUGGAGAGUGUCCACCGUUCCGCUGGGUUCUCGUUACCAGUGGGCAGCGGUGGCCGGCACCUCACCUCUUUCCAAUGAGCGUUGAGAAGUGUUCGGUCGCAUGCGCUGCACACGACGGGAACUUUGGGACGGCGUGGCCCUUCUUCAAAGCUUUAGUUUCGAAGCGCUCUUUCGGUGGAGUACAUGGACCUCAAAUGAUGUGUGACUACCC